rnacentral:lncRNA from 13 species
AAAUGGGAAGACAACACUCCCUUCAUUUUUCUUUCUUUUAGGCUUCCUGCCUGUGGGUGUUACAUAUUUUUCCCUCUUCAACUAACCGUGUCUGAGCAGGACAGCUGACCUUCAAAGUAAAUAUGAUUAAAGCUGAACAAAUCAGAGACUGGGUUUUGCUCUACUAUCUAGACUGGAGUGCAGUGGCCUGAUUAUAGCUCACUGCAGCCUCCAACUCCUGGACCCAAGUGAUCCUCCCAUAUCAGCCUCCCAAGGAGCUACAACUACAGUCUACACAGUUCCAAUAGGAGACAGACAACCAGGAUUUUGGGCCAAGAUCUAAUUUUUUGAUUGGAUUAACCCGAGAAAAUCAAAAUAUUUUUCUGUGAUGAGAGAUCUCAUUGCUAACAUACAGGUAAUAUCUUCUACCUGACCUAUCACACAGUUUUGUUUUAUUAAUUGAAUGAGACAACACAUUUAAAACUAUUCUGUAAACUGUAAAUUUCUAUGCAAUUGAAUGG